rnacentral:rRNA from 1 species
GUAUGACAGAACUGUGGGGACACGUAAGGAAAGCGGAAGCCGGGAAUGGAAAGCCCGGUGCAAGCGGGGUACCAGUCACUUUGGCAAAUCCGGGUGGCAAUGGGAAGCCGUGAUGCGGAGUGAAAUAAAGUAACGAAGUCCGUGAGCCAUGCGUCAAGAAAAGCCGCUAUCGUUUAUACCGUACCCGUACCGUAAACCGACACAGGUGGAUGAGGAGAGAAUCCUAAGGCCGGCGGAAGAAGCAUUGUCAAGGAACUCGGCAAAAUGGCCCCGUAACUUAGGGAUAAGGGGUGCCUGGGAAACCAGGCCGCAGAGAAUAGGCUCAAGCAACUGUUUAGCAAAAACACAGGUCUAUGCGAAACCGAAAGGUGAGGUAUAUGGGCUGACGCCUGCCCGGUGCUGGAAGGUUAAGAGGAGAGGUUAGCGGUAACGCGAAGCUUUGAAUUUAAGCCCCAGUAAACGGCGGCCGUAACGAUAACGGUCCUAAGGUAGCGAAAUUCCUUGUCGGGUAAGUUCCGACCCGCACGAAAGGCGUAAUGAUUUGAGCGCUGUCUCGACAAUGCAUCCGGUGAAGUUGAAGUACCAGUGAAGAUGCUGGUUACCUGCGCCAGGACGGAAAGACCCCAUGGAGCUUUACUCCAGUCUGGUACUGGGACUCGGUAUUGCAUGUACAGGAUAGGUGGGAGGCUAGGAGAUGGUAACGCCAGUUGCCAUGGAGCCGCUGUUGGGAUACCACCCUUGCAGUAUUGGGUUUCUAACCAGCCGCCGUGACCCGGCGGUGGGACAAUGCCAGACGGGGAGUUUGACUGGGGCGGUCGCCUCCGAAAGGGUAUCGGAGGCGCCCAAAGGUUCCCUCAGAAUGGACGGAAACCAUUCGAAGAGUGCAAAGGCAGAAGGGAGCUUGACUGCGACACCGACGGGUGGAGCAGGUACGAAAGUAGGGCUUAGUGAUCCGGUGGUAUUAAGUGGGAAUGCCAUCGCUCAACGGAUAAAAGCUACCCUGGGAUAACAGGCUUAUCACUCCCAAGAGUUCACAUCGACGGAGUGGUUUGGCACCUCGAUGUCGGCUCAUCGCAUCCUGGGGCUGUAGUAGGUCCCAAGGGUUGGGCUGUUCGCCCAUUAAAGCGGUACGCGAGCUGGGUUCAGAACGUCGUGAGACAGUUCGGUCCCUAUCCGGCGUGGGCGUAGGAUAUCUGAGAGGAGCUGUCCUUAGUACGAGAGGACCGGGAUGGACGGGCCGCUGGUGCAUCGGUUAGACUGCCAAGUCUACGGCCGAGUAGCCAAGCCCGGAAGGGAUAAACGCUGAAGGCAUCUAAGCGUGAAGCCCCCCUUAAGAUGAGAUAUCCCAUUCGAAAGAAGUAAACCCCCUUGAAGACGACGAGGUAGAUAGGGCAGAGGUGGAAGUGCAGCAAUGCAUGGAGCUGACUGUUACUAAUCGGGUGAGGGCUUGACCU